CAGAUGCAAGAGUUUGAUCAUGGCUCAGGACGAACGCUGGCGGCGUGCCUAAUACAUGCAAGUCGAGCGAGUCUGCCUUGAAGAUCGGAGUGCUUGCACUCUGUGAAACAAGAUACAGGCUAGCGGCGGACGGGUGAGUAACACGUGGGUAACCUGCCCAAGAGAUCGGGAUAACACCUGGAAACAGAUGCUAAUACCGGAUAACAACAGAUGAUGCCUAUCAACUGUUUAAAAGAUGGUUCUGCUAUCACUCUUGGAUGGACCUGCGGUGCAUUAGCUAGUUGGUAGGGUAACGGCCUACCAAGGCGAUGAUGCAUAGCCGAGUUGAGAGACUGAUCGGCCACAUUGGGACUGAGACACGGCCCAGACUCCUACGGGAGGCAGCA
rnacentral:rRNA from 1 species